rnacentral:misc_RNA from 1 species
UCCGUGUUCACCACGGCAGUCUCUUUAGAGUGCCCAACUGAAUGCUGGCAACUAAAGACAAGGGUUGCGCUCGUUGCGGGACUUAACCCAACAUGUCACCACACGAGCUGACGACAGCCAUGCAGCACCUGUCUCCCGGUUGUAUUGCUACAAAAGAUGCGUUUCUGCAUCGGUCCGAGGAUGUCAAACCCAGGUAAGGUUUUUCGCGUUGCUUCGAAUUAAACCACAUGAUCCACCGCUUGUGCGGGCCCCCGUCAAUUCCUUUGAGUUUUAGUCUUGCGACCGUACUUCCCAGGCGGGGAACUUAUUGCGUUAGCUCCGGCUCAGCGGGGGUCAAGACCCACUAAGCCUAGUUCCCAUCGUUUACAGCGUGGACUAC